CUCCCCACAGUCACUGAGCACACAGGACCUCACCAUGGGAUGGAGCUGGGUCGUCCUCUUCCUGGUGGCAGCAGCUACAGGUGUCCACUCCCAGGUCCAGCUGCAGCAGUCUGGGGCUGAGGUGGGGAGACCUGGGGCCUCAGUGAAGCUGUCCUACAAGACUUCUGGAUACACCUUCACCAGCUACUAUAUGAGCUGGGUGAAGCAGAGACCUGGACAGGGGCUGGAGUGGAUUGGAAGGAUUUAUCCUGGAGAUGGUGAUACUGACUACGCUCAGAAGUUCCAGGGCAAGGCCACACUGACUGUAGACACAUCCUCCAGCACAGCCUACAUGGAGCUCCGCAGCCUGACAUCUGAGGACUCUGCGGUCUAUUACUGUGCGAGGCACAGUGCUGCACCCACAUCCUGA